UCUCACCCCUUUUGUGCAUCACCGCGUGGGCCCUCCUUUGCAGGAGGGCUUGCGUUUUCACAUAAAACUUGAUACAGUGUAGAAUGUUUUCUUUUCUUUUGCGGUCAAACGCAAUUAAUACAACUUUCAACAACGGAUCUCUUGGCUCUCGCAUCGAUGAAGAACGCAGCGAAAUGCGAUACGUAAUGUGAAUUGCAGAAUUCAGUGAAUCAUCGAAUCUUUGAACGCACCUUGCGCCCCUUGGCAUUCCGAGGGGCACACCCGUUUGAGUGUCGUGAAAUCAUCAAAACCUUUUCCUUUGAUCCUCUUUUGGUCGGGAAAAGGAUUUUUGGA
rnacentral:misc_RNA from 1 species